rnacentral:lncRNA from 1 species
UUUUUUUUUUUUUUUGGACGCCCCUGGGGCACAUGCAAGAUCUAGAACCAGGGAUUGAAUUCAUGCCACAGCAGCAACCCAAGCCACUGCAGUGAACAACACUGGAUCCUUAACCUGCUGUGCCACAAGAAAACUCCUCCUUUCCCUUCUUUUUAACAUUAGGUAUUCCAUUUUGCCACUUGCUAUUUUUAAAGAGGUUUUAUUUGUCUUUCAAGGUGUAAAUAGAAUGACAAAUGAUAACAUGUCCUUAGGCAUGUUGAUAUUUUUACAGGACUCAACUUUGAACAGUACUUUUAUAUGCAUUAUUUUGUUUGAUCCUAGUAAUACCUCAAUAGGUGAGCCAGAAUUAAGAUUUCCCAAAAGGUUAACAGGGAUUAAGAUUGCCACUCUAAAAGUAAACUAGUUGCUCAAAGGUAAGAAAACGAAGAAAGAGAACAGAAGUUUGCCUAAGGUAAUGUACUUUUUAAGUGGCACAACCUAACUUCAAUCCAGGCUUCCUGACCCACAAUUUUGAGUUAUUUCUAUAAGAGAAGGAGGUUUUUCUCUCUCUUUAGUACAGUAAGGUGUAUCCUAUUCAGGUCCUCAUACUAAAUAUAUUCAAUAACUAGAAAUACAUACCAGCCAUUUCCACCCCCAACCCAGUGUUUGGUUUUCUACUCUACCUCAUCAAUUAAAUUAUUUUAUAAAAUAUGAGAAUAAAACAACCACAACCUAGCAAUUAUUAAAGAAAGGAAAACAAUUAUCUUUACCUGGUCAAUUGUAAUCACUUUCUUUCCCUCUUUGGAAAUAUGUGUGAGAUUUUCCUUUUUCUCUCUUUGACAUGUACAACUGAAGAAUGAUUUUUCUGUUAAACUUUAUAUUUAAUUUAUUUUUAUUUAUUUAUUUAUUUUUUGUCUUUUUGUCUUUUUUUGUCUUUUGUUGUUGUUGUUGUUGCUAUUUCUUGGGCCGCUCCCGCGGCAUAUGGAGGUUCCCAGGUGUGGCCCUAGAAAAGACAAAAAAAAAAAAGAAAAAGAAAGAAAUGAAUGUGGUUAUAGAACCUGAUAUUUGAAUAUCUUUAAGACAGAAAUGAAAGAUUAUCUUAAUACUUGAAACACACCAUUUUUUUAAACACACCAUUAUUUUGCACACAGGUUUAAAAUAAGCAGAGGGUCAGAAAAUGUCCUUAGAGAGCAUAUUUUAAAAAGGACUCUCUUUAGCAGAAUUAGUUGGCAUCCUAAUGACAAUCCUCACAUUCCUGCCUUGUAGUCAGUCUUACUAUCGGAAGUUCCAUGCAGGACUCUAUUUGGGGGGAGUUUUCUGUUUGUCUUCUCCGUGGGGGAGCAUUUCCUGGCAUUAGCUAUGGCUGUCUUCCCAUGACUUUGUCUCUUGGUAUAUGGAUUAAUUUUAUCACUCAUCUUACUGAUCCUGAAUAUUUUCUUUUUUCUCGUCCUGCAUUAUACUGACCCAAGUUUAAAAAACAAACAAACAAACAAAAAAACAGGAAGGAAAAAAGACAGGUUUAAAACAAAAAAUAGGCAGGGGAAUAUUGAAAAAGAAGGGAAAAAAGUAAGAAGAGCAUGAAAAAGCUACUACAUAUCUUUGCUUGAAAAAUAGUCAUGUGCUAUGCCAAAAUUUAAAAAAGUACAUUGCAGGAGUUCCCAUCGUGGCUCAGUGGAAACAAAUCUGACCAGCAUCCAUGAGGAUGCAGGUUCACUCCCUGGUCUCACUCAGUGGGUUGGGAACACAGCAUUGCUGUGAGCUGUGGUAGGAGUUGCAGAAGCAGCUUGAAUCUGACGUUGCUGUGGCUGUGGCAUAGGCCAGCGGUUUAUAGCUCUGAUUUGACCCCUAGCCUGGGAACUGCCAUGUGCUGUGGGUGUGACCCUAAAAAGACAAAAAAUAAAAUAAUAAUAAUAAUAAAGUGGAUUGCAAAACCAGAUAUUGCUACUUUAAACAGUAGAUAGAGGGCUGCAGUGGAAACACUGUGUGGAUGGUUAACAGGUCACUUUAACCAUCUAAUGCAAGUAGCUUUCAUAUCUCCUCAGGCUUAAAGGAGAUAUGAUUGUUGGGGUAGUGGGAGGCAGUGCCAUGGACCAGACUAGAGAGAAAACCUUACUCUCUGGAAAAGGAUAAGGAUGGGAUGACCACUAGAGCUGUGUGUACCCCAAAUAAAUUUAGUAACUUUCUCACUGUAUAACCCAAGUCAAUGGGGUCCCCUUUCAGAAGUCAACUUCUUCUUUCAGAAAAGACAAUAAUGGGAAAUGGUGAGUCGAGAUAAUGCUAAGGGCCACUUUGGAGGGUUAAGCAGACAAAUUAUUUCCUCAGUUGGUUCUCUUUAAUAUGGAGUAGGGAUUCCUAAAAAUGUCUACUGUCUGAAGCAGCCAAAGGCAGAGUUAGCCAGAGCUGAGUACAGGCCUCUGGAGACCACUGACUUAUUGUAGCAUACUAUCCUCAAACCUGGCUCUUUCUGGGGUUCUGGAGGUGCCUUAGUGCACUCAUAUACUUCAUCUCCUUACUCCCAAGGAAUACAGUCUGAUCAAUGCAAAAACGAAAACAAAAAACAAAAAACAAAACCAAUUCUGACGGGAAUUGUCCUGAAUUAGCACAGAAAAGACUUGCCUUUGAAGAAUAUCACUUUCUCCUGGGUGCUCCAACGCUGCUGGCCAUACACAUAAUGAAUGAUGAGGAGGACUAAGAUACCUGGAGUAUGAAAAGGCCAAUUGUUGAAUAAACAAUUUCCAAGCUACCAUCCCCACAGCAUUAAAAAAUAAUCACUUCCGGAUCAACUGGCCCAGGACAUUCUUUCAACUAUUUACCACUGAUUUAAAUGCAGUGAUUGUAAGACUAACAGGGGAGUGAGACUGAUUUUACAGAAUAGCUUAAAUCAUGUUAUGGAUGAAAGUCACAUUAAGUUCAGCUACCUGAUUUAUAAGAAUUAUGUUUCUGUUUAUAUAUGAAUUUGAUUUGUGGUUGUAUGAAAUUUAAGAAUAUGUAUUGCAUAUAGAAUGUCUCAAAACAUGAAAUUAAGCCUUAAAUAUUUUUGACAACUAGUUUUUUUUUAUCAAUAGUGGCAUUUCAUACUACUUGGCAAGCGCAUUAACUACUUCAGCGUUCAGUUGACUAGAGCUUACCAGGCAUGUUUUAGCAGACAUAUAUAGAAAUACUAGUAGUUCUCAAAUGUGGUCUGAAAACCUUUGUUGGGUCCUCUGAAUCCUUUCCAGGGUUUCAGCAAAGUCAACACUAUUUUCAUAAUAAGACUAAGACAGGAGUUCCUGUCAUGGCUCAGCAGAAACAAAAUCUGACUAGCAUCCACGAGGACACAGAUUCGAUCCCUGGCCUAGGUGGGUUAAGGAUCUGGCAUUGCCGUGGGCUGUGGUGUUGGUCACAGAUGUGGCUUGGAUCUCAUAUUGCUGUGGCUGUGGCUCAGGCCGGCAGAUACAGCUGUGAUUCCACUCCUAGCCUGGGAACCUCCAUAUGCCGUGGGUGUGGGCCUAAAAAGGCAGGAAAAAAACCCAUACUAAGACAUUGUCUUUUUCACUCUUAUUCUCUCAU